GCGCUGCAUUAGCUAGUUGGUAAGGUAACGGCUUACCAAGGCAACGAUGCAUAGCCGACCUGAGAGGGUGAUCGGCCACACUGGAACUGAGACACGGUCCAGACUCCUACGGGAGGCAGCAGUAGGGAAUCUUCCGCAAUGGGCGAAAGCCUGACGGAGCAACGCCGCGUGAGUGAUGAAGGUCUUCGGAUCGUAAAACUCUGUUAUUAGGGAAGAACAUAUGUGUAAGUAACUGUGCACAUCUUGACGGUACCUAAUCAGAAAGCCACGGCUAACUACGUGCCAGCAGCCGCGGUAAUACGUAGGUGGCAAGCGUUAUCCGGAAUUAUUGGGCGUAAAGCGCGCGUAGGCGGUUUUUUAAGUCUGAUGUGAAAGCCCACGGCUCAACCGUGGAGGGUCAUUGGAAACUGGAAAACUUGAGUGCAGAAGAGGAAAGUGGAAUUCCAUGUGUAGCGGUGAAAUGCGCAGAGAUAUGGAGGAACACCAGUGGCGAAGGCGACUUUCUGGUCUGUAA
rnacentral:rRNA from 1 species